UACGUAGGUGGCAAGCGUUGUCCGGAUUUACUGGGCGUAAAGAGCGCGCAGGCGGUCGUUCAAGUCGCGUGUGAAAGCCCCCGGCUCAACUGGGGAGGGUCACGCGAUACUGAUCGACUCGAAGGCAGGAGAGGGUAGUGGAAUUCCCGGUGUAGUGGUGAAAUGCGCAGAUGUCAGGAGGAACACCAAUGGCGAAGGCAGCACUCUGGGACGUGACUGACGCUGAGACGCGAAAGCGUGGGGAGCAAACAGG
rnacentral:rRNA from 1 species